CCUACGGGGGACUGCAGUGGGGAAUAUUGGGCAAUGGGCGCAAGCCUGACCCAGCAACGCCGCGUGAAGGAAGAAGGCUUUCGGGUUGUAAACUUCUUUUUACAGGGAAGAGAAGAAGGCGAUACCUGGCGAAUAAGCCACUGCUAACUGCGGGCCAACAGGCUCGGUAAGUCGUAGGAGGCACGUGUUUUCCGGAUUUACUGGGGGUAACGGGCGUGUAUCCGGGAUGACAAGUCAGAUGUGAAAACCGGGGGCUCAACCCCCGAACUGCCUUUGAAAAUGGUGGUCUUGAGUAUAGGAGAGGCAUGCGGAAUUCCUAGUGUAGCGGUGAAAUGCGUAGAUAUUAGGCGGAACACCAGUGGCGAAGGCGGCCUGCUGG
rnacentral:rRNA from 1 species